rnacentral:lncRNA from 1 species
UCUUCUUUGCUUUCUGGCCGCCAUGAGGUAAGCAGCUACCUUAGUUUCAUCCUCCUGCCGUGAUGUGCUAUUUGGCCCAAAAGCAGUGUGGCCAACCAGCCAUGGACUGAAAUCUCUAAAACUGUGAGCAAGAAUAAACCUUUCCUCCUUUAAGUUGAUUAUCUCAGGUAUUUUGUCACAGUAACAAAGCCAACCAACACCCAACAUUGGUACCAAGAAGUGGGAGUUGAUAUGACUAAACCUGAGAAUAACGGAGGAAUCUUUGGAUUUGGUUUGUGGGGAGUUUGGAGAAGCAGGUUAGAGAAAGCCUAGGAUGCUGUAUGCAGAACUCAAAGGCCAAUUCUGGUGAGGAUUAAGACCAGAAUGCUGAUUAGUAAAGUUUCUCAGGAGGUUGCAGGUGAAAAUAAGGACUCUACAGGGAAUUGGACAGGCCAUACCUUUUUACACCAUGGUAAAGAAUUUGACUACAUUUUAACCAUCCCUGAGACUUGGUGGGAAGCUGAACUUAAAGGUGAUGGACCAGUUUACCUGGUGAAGGAAAUUUCAAGGCAGCUCAACAUUCAGAUAGCAGUUCAGGUUUUAUUGCUUCCUUUUUAGCUAAAUUUACUGUGAAAAUCAGAAGUGAAGAGGGAAAAUUUGGAAAACUUGAGUUUGGCUCUCCAAAAAAGAAACAUGUUUCAAGGUGCUGCCAAGGAGGGUGCAGUUGCCAAAGAGAUCUGCGUCAUUGAAAAGAAGCCAUGUGAGAGCUGGGCAUGGUGGCACAUGCCUGCAAUCCUAGUAACUUGGGAAGCCAAGGCAGGAAGAUCACAAGUUUAAGGCCAGCCUCAGCAAAUUAGCAAAACCCUGUUUCAAAAAAAAAAAAAAAAGGUCUGGGAUGUAGUUCAGUGGUAAAGUGUCCAUGAAUUCUAUUCCCAUUACCAAAAACUACAACAACAAAACUAGGCAGUGACACUUAAUUCCAGGCUUCAUCAGAGAUGAAGCAACCCUGGCUGCUGUCUGCAUAGUGAAGUUCAUAGUAGCUACAAAUCCAUCUGAGUGGGUGCCAGGGAAGCCAUCCAUGGAGAGAUGUCACACCAGUGGCAAUCUGGGAAGUCAUUGAAGGGAGUGUAGGGUAGUGACAGGAACAUUGAGAGGUGAUAAAUGGAAAAGGGUCACAGUCCAUCCCUUUGGUUAUUAAGCUUCCAUAUGUGCCCUUCUGCACAUUUCAAAACUUUGCAACAAUGAGAUAGUCCGACAUUUCUUCCUGACUUAUAUUUUCUUACAAAUCAACUUCACUCCCCUUUCUCAAAAUAAGAAGAUGCCCAGUACUGACAAUCAUUUUCAUUGUUGGUUACAUUAAUGACUCCUCCAAUUCUGUCACUGUUUCAUCAAAUAUUCUGUAACCUAAAAUCUAAAUUGUAAAUUUAAUCUCCCAAAACUUGUAUAUAAAAUUAAAAUGAAAGAAGAAAAUGAAAAUGG